AUAAAACUGGCACACGAGGAAACGACCGGAGACGAGACGUGACAGCGCUAUGGUAUUGGCGAACCAGCUGUGGCUUCCAAAAACAAGCCAAUUGGAUGAAAAAGGGCUUUCACGCAUGGAGAUUAAAGAUGAACCAUAUAAGAAAUUAAACAGUGGACCAGGAAAGGCUGAACAUUCAAUUUAAACUCCCCAAGAAAAGAGGUGAUUUUAAAAGGACCAAUAAAGUCACUCAAGAAUUCCAGAGGUCACCGAGAUGUCUCAGGAAAAAGCAUUUUUAUUUGGUUCUUUUUGUUUCUUUAAUGUCAAAUGCUGCUUUCUAAUCUAUGCCAUUAUCAAAAAGCCUCCACACCGGUCCAAAUAAUCGAUACCAGUCAAUAUCGGAUUGAUAUUAGCAUCAUGAGGCUGAUUCGGUAGCUUCAGUUUUGUACCCAGUCAGAGAAUGAUAUGGACUUGUUUGAACCUGUCAACACUAAAUUAAAGGUGCAAAAAAUUAUGUUUGUGUCUGUAAUUAAAAAAAGCGUGUCUGGAAUUAAAGAGUUCAAAAUUUAUUUGGGAAAAAAUAUUGUAAGACAGGCAAACUAAUAUCUAACUGACUGUGAGGUGGAAAUGUUGGAAAGCUGCAUUAUCUGCUGGUUGCUUUUAGUUCUUGUCAAGGUUUGACUCAAGCACAAGCAAGGCAAGGUGAAUCUACAGAAAAUGUUUUCUUGUGCAUUUUUUGACAGUCUGGAAUACUUUUUUGUUGUGGUUGUGAUGCAACAGCUACAAUAGAGGUUAUAUGAAAAUAGCAAUGGCGAUAUCAAUGGAAUAAACUCAAACUAUUUAGAUCACCUUGGGGUGAGAGAGCCAACGUUGUGCUAAGUGAAAAGAUUUCCACACAUUGCAAUCUUAGCUCCGGCCUCUGCGGCACAAACUGUACAUUUGAGCUUAUCAUGAAGUAUUGCUUUGGUAUGAAUAGCCC